AGUGUUGGACACUAAGACAAACACAUAGGUGCUCGAAAGAGUAAUCGAGUACACUGAACAAUAAUCAAAAGAGAGUUCGAACAUACAUGUCAUGUAAGAACUCGAUAGUUGCAAUACGCAAAGUAGUCCUUUGACCUGAGGCAUUAUAGAUGUCUAAUGGUUAGGUCCUUGAUCUUUGAUCAUGUCAAAGGCAUUCCAUUGGAGUGUCCACGGCAUUGUUGGGGUCAAGCUAUCUACUCAUGUAGGCAUAUGAAUGUACAACAAGGGAUCUUUAACUUUCCAUGGAGGAAGGAGAAUACUCUAAGAUGUGAUUCGAGAGUCUUUGGCCAAAGCAUAUGAAUAUAACUUAGGAAGUUUGUUCCAAAUCAUAUUCAAUUGAAUCAUAUAGAGAAGUAUCACAUUGGAUAGUAGACAUGAAACAAACUAUCAUUCAAACAAUGUGAUUAAGAGUAUUGUAUUAGAGAAUGACCGUAUUGCAUUGUAAUUGUAACUGGAUAGGUUCUCCAACCACUUCUACUUAGCUUGGGUAACCAUGACAUACUGCUAGGUGUCACUCAUGGUUUGUGGAAGCCCUAAUGAUUAGCAAACACUAAUUUUAAGGGAGAAUUGAAAUGUGGUUUCAAUUCACAAUCGAUUGUUAAGAGUAACAAUCGCCCAUUACCUCGCUAAUUGGAACCUAAUGGAUCGUACACCGAGUAAGGGCGAUAGUGAAGAAAUUAAAUGAAAUGGAUAUGCAAUUAAAUGGUUUAAUUGAAGAAUGGUCAAAGAUUAAUUAAAUUAGUUAAUUAAUUUUACGAAAGGUUCGUAUUGGGCUUUUAAGUUGGUUUUGGGUUUCGGGGCCCAAAAGC
rnacentral:lncRNA from 1 species